rnacentral:rRNA from 1 species
AAGUUGAAAAGAACCCCGGAAGGGGAGUGAAAGAGAACCUGAAACCCUAUGUUUACAAGCUGCUAAAGCACUAUAUAUGUGCGAUAGCGUACUUUUUGUAGAACGGUCCGGCGAGUGUAUGUUGCAAGCGAGGUUAAGGUGUUAAGCACUGAAGCCGAAGGGAGACCGAGUGUGAAUAGCGCGUACAGUUUGCAGUAUACGACCCGAAACCGGGUGACCUAACCAUGGACAGGUUGAAGUGGAAGUAAAAUUCCAUGGAGGACCGAACCCACGUCUGUUGAAAAAGGCGGGGAUGAGCUGUGGUUAGCGGUGAAAUUCCAAUCGAACUCGGAUAUAGCUGGUUCUCAUCGAAAUAGCUUUAGGGCUAGCCUCAGGAUAGUUUAGCGGAGGUAAAGCACUGAAUGGGCUAGGGGGCUUCACGGCUUACCGAACCCUAUCAAACUCUGAAUGCCGCAUAAAUGUUUCCUGGGAGUCAGACUGCGUGAGAUAAGUUUCGUAGUCAAAAGGGAAAGAGCCCAGACCUACAGCUAAGGUCCCUAAAUGAAUUUAAGUGGAAAAGGAUGUGCAGUUGCGUAGACAACUAGGACGUUGGCUUAGAAGCAGCCACUCAUUUAAAGAGUGCGUAAUAGCUCACUAGUCGAGUGAUUGUGCGCCGAAAAUGUAACGGGGCUAAAAUUCAUACCGAAGCUUAGGCUUUGCACACUUUGUGUGCGAGGGGUAGAUGAGCGUUGUGUAAGUCUGCGAAGCUACACCGAAAGGAGUAGUGGAGAUAUCACAAGUGAGAAUGCCGGAAUGAGUAGCGAGAAUUAUGUGAGAAUCAUAAUGGUCGAAAAUCUAAGGUUUCUUGAGGAAGGUUCGUCCGCUCAAGGUAAGCCGGGAGCUAAGGCGAGGCCGAGAGGCGUAGUCGAUGCACAUACGGUAAAGAUUCCGUAGCCACCGAAGUCGUUAAAUACAGGGACACAGGAACAUAGCCUAACCCCACCGUUGGUUGAGUGGGGCGUAAGGGAGCGAAAAUUAGUAGCGAAGUGGGUGAUUGUACACUGGCGAGAAAAGCUGUAUGGAUUGACAAGGUGCCCGUACCGCAAACCGACACAGGUAGAUGAGGAGAGAAUCCUAAGACCAGCGGGAGAAGUGUUGUUAAGGAACUCGGCAAAAUGACCCCGUAACUUCGGGAUAAGGGGAGCCUACGCGAGUAGGCCGCAGAGAAUAGUCUCAAGCGACUGUUUAGCAAAAACACAGGUCUAUGCUAAAUCGAAAGAUGAUGUAUAUGGGCUGACGCCUGCCCGGUGCUGGAAGGUUAAGGGGAAGUGUUAGAGCAAUCGAAGCACUGAACUUAAGCCCCAGUAAACGGCGGCCGUAACUAUAACGGUCCUAAGGUAGCGAAAUUCCUUGUCAGGUAAGUUCUGACCCGCACGAAUGGCGUAACGACUUGAGAGCUGUCUCAACAACAUACCCGGCGAAAUUGAAGUACUGGUAAAGAUGCCAGUUACCCGUGAUAAGACGGAAAGACCCCAUGGAGCUUUACUGUAACUUGAUAUUGAAUUUUUGUAUUACAUGUACAGGAUAGGUGGGAGACAGAGAACUAAUGCCGCCAGGUGUUAGGGAGUCGAUGUUGGGAUACCACUCUUGUAAUAUGAAGGUUCUAACCUGCACCCGUGAAUCCGGGUGGGGGACACUGUCAGGUGGACAGUUUGACUGGGGCGGUCGCCUCCUAAAAGGUAACGGAGGCGUUCAAAGGUUGGUUCAGCACGGACGGAAAUCGUGCAACGAGUGCAAACGCAUAAACCAGCCUAACUGCGAGACCGACAAGUCGAGCAGUAACGAAAGUUGGAGUUAGUGAUCCGGCGGUAUGAGAGUGGAAUUGCCGUCGCUCAACGGAUAAAAGCUACCCUGGGGAUAACAGGCU